ACACUGGAACUGAGACACGGUCCAGACACCUACGGGUGGCAGCAGUCGAGAAUCAUUCACAAUGGAGGCAACUCUGAUGGUGCAACGCCGCGUGGAGGAUGACGGUCCUAGGAUUGUAAACUCCUGUCAUUGGGGAGUAAGACUUAAGCGUUAAGAGCGUUUAAGUUUGAUAGUACCCAAAGAGGAAGGGACGGCUAACUUCGUGCCAGCAGCCGCGGUAAUACGAAGGUCCCAAGCGUUGUUCGGAAUCACUGGGCGUAAAGCGUGUGUAGGCUGCGCGGAAAGUCAAAUGUGAAAGCCCGGGGCUCAACCUCGGAACUGCAUUCGAUACUCCCGUGCUAGAGUAAUGGAGAGGUAAGUGGAAUUCCUGGUGUAGCAGUGAAAUGCGUGGAUAUCAGGAGGAACAUCAAUGGCGAAGGCAACUUACUGGACAUUUACUGACGCUCAGACACGAAGGCUAGGGUAGCGAAAGGGAUUAGAUACCCCUGUAGUCCUAGCAGUAAACGGUGCUCGCUUGGUGUGGGAGGAUUCGACCCCUUCUGUGCCGGAGCUAACGCGUUAAGCGAGCCGCCUGGGAAGUACGGUCGCAAGACUAAAACUCAAAGAAAUUGACGGGGACCCGCACAAGCGGUGGAGUAUGUGGCUUAAUUCGAUGCAACGCGAAGAACCUUACCUAGGCUUGACAUGCUUGUCGUACUCUCCCGAAAAGGAGAGGUCACUUCGGGUGGACAAUGCACAGGUGCUGCAUGGCCGUCGUCAGCUCGUGUCGUGAGAUGUUUGGUUAAGUCCAGCAACGAGCGCAACCCCUGUGAACUGUUGCCAGCGCGUAAAGGCGGGGACUCUGUUCAGACUGCCCAGAUCAACUGGGAGGAAGGUGGGGACGACGUCAGGUCAGUAUGGCCCUUACGCCUAGGGCUGCACACGUACUACAAUGCCCAGCACAAUGAGAACCGAGACCGCAAGGUGGAGGAAAUCUGCAAAACUGGGCCCAGUUCGGAUUGGAGGCUGCAACUCGCCUCCAUGAAGUCGGAAUCGCUAGUAAUGCCGUAUCAGCUACGACGGCGUGAAUACGUUCCCGGGUCUUGUACACACCGCCCGUCACAUCAUGGAAGCCGGUCGCACCCGAAGUAUAUGCGCUAACUUUAUUGAAGCAGUAUCCUAAGGUGAGGCUGGUAACUGGGAUGAAGUCGUAACAAGGUAGCCGUAGGGGAACCUGCGGCUG
rnacentral:rRNA from 1 species